rnacentral:lncRNA from 1 species
UACAUAAAAUAAUGGUACGUCGGUUGGUCAAAGGCGGUGGUAAGUAAAUGGAUAAUCAUCUUCUGCGAUAUCUUUUAACACUCCUCGUUGAUUAUCCAUUUUCUAUUACGUAGUGCCUCGUUAAAAAUCUAAUCACGGAAAAACUCUGUGGGAUAAAAACCGUGAAGAGGGAAAAAGAGUACACUGCCGUAAUCUCCUCCUGAGAAUAGUGGACUUAGCUUUUUCCUUACAGAUCACGCAAAUGCCGCAUUCUGAU